rnacentral:rRNA from 1 species
UACGAAGGGGGCGAGCGUUGUUCGGAUUUACUGGGCGUAAAGAGCGCGCAGGCGGCUGGUCAAGUCCGAUGUGAAAGCUCCCGGCUUAACUGGGAAAUUGCAUCGGAAACUGAUCGGCUGGAAGGUGGGAGAGGGUAGCGGAAUUCCCGGUGUAGUGGUGAAAUGCGUAGAUAUCGGAAGGAACAUCAGUGGCGAAAGCGGCUUCCUGGACCAGUACCGACGUUCAGGCACGAAAGCGUGGGGAGCAAACAGG